rnacentral:lncRNA from 1 species
UAUCAUGAACCACAGCGUCUAGUGGACCCACCUUUAAAUUGAAGGUUUAAGGAUUGCUUUUUUGCUAUACUAUUGUACAAGAAGGACAAGCCUCGGUUUGCUUUCUCUAUGCCUUCUGUUAAUCAGAAAAAGCCUGUUUCUCGCUAUCAAUGGUACCCAGGCUCUGAAAUGGCAACUCGUAAUACACUACCUCCAUUUAAAAGUUCCAUCCCUGAUGUCUUUAGCUAUUGAUCACUCAAAUGCAUUGUCUAAAGUAGCUUUAGUUCUCUCUCUUACCUUACUUCUUAGAGCAGAAGAGAGAGGUUCUACUAUAAAAGAAAUACAUCUUCAUUUUAGUAAAACCAGAAAAUUCAGAUCAGCAAAUAAAGAAAUAUUAGAAUCACCUCUAAUCCCAGUCAUCCGGAGUUAACUUGCUGGUGUCAUUUUCCUGGAUAUUCUCAUACUGUUUACCCAUGUCCCAUUCCAGGAGGCUUUUCAUAUAGAAGAUGAGUGGACACCAACUAGAGACACUGGAGCAAGGGCCCCACAGUGUGACAUUUGGUUGUCUCUUGAUGGGGGAGGGAAAGUGUGCUUUUGUGUACAAGUAUGAGAUAGGUGGAUUCUAUCAUGUGGAGGAUAUUGCUUCUCAGCCUUUUGGCUAAGAUCAAGUGUAGUAUCAUGAGGAGUUUUCUUCGAAAUUGUGGAUUUCCACUUAUGUAACUAGUGGUGCUAUUAUGUGCCCAGCACGAAGGUAUGUAAAUGUUGCAUUAAAACCUUCUUGAGGUGGCCGGGCGCAGUGGCUCACACCUGUAAUCCCAGCACUUUGAGAGGCCAAGACAGGCAGAUCACAAGGUCAGGAGUUCGAGACCAGCCAGACCAACAUGAUGAAACCCCGUCUGUACUAAAAAUACAAAAAUUAGCCAGGCAUGGUGGCGGGUGCCUAUAAUCCCGCUACUCGGGAGGCUGAGGCAGGAGAAUCACUUAAACAUGGGAGGCGGAGGUUGCAGUGAGCCGAGAUUGUGCCACUGCACUCCAGCCUAGGCAACAGAGUGAGACUCCAUCUCAAAAAAAAAAAAAAAAAAAAAAAAGAAAACCUUCUUGAGGUGUUUGCCAUCUCACAAUGUAUUUAUUUCAAAGUGAUGCCAAGGAGCUAUAAUAAAGUGUACUUAUGAUGAC